UACAGAGGGUGCGAGCGUUAAUCGGAAUUACUGGGCGUAAAGGGUGAGUAGGUGGACCUUUAAGUCAGGUGUGAAAUACCCGAGCUUAACUUGGGAAUAGCGCUUGAUACUGAGGGUCUAGAGUACAGUAGAGGAUAGCGGAAUUUCCGGUGUAGCGGUGAAAUGCGUAGAUAUCGGAAGGAACAUCAGUGGCGAAGGCGGCUAUCUGGACUGAAACUGACACUGAGUCACGAAAGCGUGGGUAGCAAACAGG
rnacentral:rRNA from 1 species